GAUUGAUAGGUGCUAGGUAGCCAGAGAACAGUGUGAAGAGCAUAAAAAGAAUGGGCAAGGCACAGCAGUAAAGAGACAGAGUGCUCUAAAUCCAAGAACUGUGCAUUAUUCUGCAUAGGUGAAGAGUAGAGUGGAUGUGGGAAGUCAUAAGGGCUGAGACUAGAGAUGUAGGCAGGGACAAGAUGAUGCAAAGUCUCAUACAACAUUCUGAGGAAGACGUUUACCCUGAAAGAGAACAUUGCUACCAAGAACAUCAAGAAGAGCUGCUGAAUGAUAGGCAUUUGGAGAGCAGUUUGCCAGGAAAGCCGCUGUCUCAAGAAUAUCAAGGAGCGGAGUCUUUCCAGACCACAACUCCUCGCUCCAGGCGUUCGAAUCUGCCUCAAACAAAAGAGGAGACAACGGCGAAGGACGCCCCCCUGCCAUCCUCCUAUCUCACCAUGGCUCCCGCCUCGCUGCAAGCAGCCCCUCAAGGCCAAACGCAGGCUGGUGGGAAAACACCGACCUGCACAAGCUACAUGCGCCCUCUCCCCUACCCAAAACCCCGAAUAAAAAUCCCUACCCAUCCCUCAUCGGGGAGCUAGAAAUUUUUGAGGCAUGAGCCCCAGCUUUGCUCCCUAUGCCUGGCAUAGUAAAAACCUUUCCUCUUCC
rnacentral:lncRNA from 1 species